rnacentral:rRNA from 1 species
ACGAACGCUGGCGGCGUGCUUAACACAUGCAAGUCGAACGGAAAGGCCCUGCUUUUGUGGGGUGCUCGAGUGGCGAACGGGUGAGUAAUGCAUCGGAACGUGCCCAGUAGUGGGGGAUAGCCCGGCGAAAGCCGGAUUAAUACCGCAUACGACCUGAGGGUGAAAGCGGGGGACCGAAAGGCCUCGCGCUAUUGGAGCGGCCGAUGUCGGAUUAGCUAGUUGGUGGGGUAAAGGCUUACCAAGGCGACGAUCCGUAGCUGGUCUGAGAGGACGACCAGCCACACUGGGACUGAGACACGGCCCAGACUCCUACGGGAGGCAGCAGUGGGGAAUUUUGGACAAUGGGGGCAACCCUGAUCCAGCCAUGCCGCGUGCGGGAAGAAGGCCUUCGGGUUGUAAACCGCUUUUGUUCGGGAAGAAAUCCUCUGGGCUAAUACCCCGGGGGGAUGACGGUACCGGAAGAAUAAGCACCGGCUAACUACGUG